rnacentral:rRNA from 1 species
UACGGGGGGGGUAAGCGUUGUUCGGAAUUACUGGGCGUAAAGGGCUCGUAGGCGGCCAACUAAGUCAGACGUGAAAUCCCUCAGCUUAACUGGGGAACUGCGUCUGAUACUGGAUGGCUUGGAUUUGGGAGAGGGAUGCGGAAUUCCAGGUGUAGCGGUGAAAUGCGUAGAUAUCUGGAGGAACACCGGUGGCGAAGGCGGCAUCCUGGACCAAUAUUGACGCUGAGGAGCGAAAGCCAGGGGGGCAAACGGG